rnacentral:rRNA from 1 species
UACGAAGGUGGCAAGCGUUACUCGGAAUUACUAGGCGUAAAGGGCAGGUAGGCGGUUUGAUAAGUCCGUUGUGAAAGCUCCCGGCUUAACUGGGAGAGGUCAAUGGAUACUGUCGAACUUGAGUAUGGGAGAGGGUACUGGAAUUCCUGGUGUAGCGGUGAAAUGCGCAGAUAUCAGGAGGAACACCGAUGGCGAAAGCAGGUACCUGGACCAUUACUGACGCUCAGCUGCGAAAGCUAGGGGAGCAAACAGG